AUUGAACGCUGGCGGCAUGCCUAACACAUGCAAGUGGAACGGCAGCACAGUAAAGACUUCGGUCUUUAUGGGUGGCGAGUGGCGGACGGGUGAGUCACGCGUAGGAAUCUGUCCUGGAGAGUGGGAUAACCCGAGGAAACUCGGGCUAAUACCGCAUGAUAUCGAGAGAUCAAAGGCAGGGGACCCUUCGGGGCCUGGCGCUCUAGGUUGAGCCUACGUCGGAUUAGCUAGUUGGUGGGGUAAAGGCCUACCAAGGCGACGAUCCGUAGCUGGUCUGAGAGGAUGACCAGCCACACUGGGACUGAGACACGGCCCAGACUCCUACGGGAGGCAGCAGUGGGGAAUCUUGGACAAUGGGGGAAACCCUGAUCCAGCGAUGCCGCGUGUGUGAAGAAGGCCUUCGGGUUGUAAAGCACUUUAGGUGGGGAAGAAAGGUAAUGAGUGAAUAACUGAUUGCUUUGACGGUACCCGCAGAAUAAGCACCGGCUAACUCUGUGCCAGCCGCCGCAGUAA
rnacentral:rRNA from 1 species